rnacentral:sRNA from 1 species
UAAUAUAUAGAGUUUAAAAAAAUCUCAAAAACAAAUUCGUCAUAUUUUGUGAUUCGAAAUUUUAAGAAUGAACAUAUAUUAACCAAUUGGCGAAAAAUGUGUGGGUUCAACGUCCCGCAACGACUAAAAUAUUUUAACAAUGAUUCAUAAACAUAUUAUAAAUAAGAUCAACAUUAAUAAAAUAAAUAGUUUUUUUUUGUGGACGGGUUUGGCAGGACGUUACUUAGUAACAAUGAUAAACUAUAAAAUAAUUUAUAAAUUUUUAUAUAUAUUAAUUUUAAAAAAUGAAUUGUCUCCGCGGUACACCGCGGAUUAAAAUCUAGUAGUUAACAUUUUUUUAGUUCGCUUGAAACGUAUUAAGAUGGCAAUAAUACCAAAAUAAAUGGAAUCCAAU